ACCAGGACCAUUACUUUGAAAAAAUUAGAGUGUUCAAAGCAGGCCAUAGGCCCGAAUAUAUUAGCAUGGAAUAACAGAAUAGGACGUGCGGUUCUAUUUUGUUGGUUUUUGGAAUCGCCGUAAUGAUUAAUAGGGACAGUCGGGGGCAUUAGUACUCACAUGCUAGAGGUGAAAUUCUUGGAUUUUGUGAAGACUAACUUCUGCGAAAGCAUUUGCCAAGGAUGUUUUCAUUAAUCAAGAACGAAGGUUAGGGUAUCGAA
rnacentral:rRNA from 14 species